GGGCGUGUAGCUCAGCGGGAGAGCACUACGUUGACAUCGUAGGGGUCACAGGUUCAAUCCCUGUUACGCCCACCA
rnacentral:tRNA from 1 species